rnacentral:misc_RNA from 1 species
GAUGAAGAACGUAGCGAAAUGCGAUAAGUAAUGUGAAUUGCAGAAUUCAGUGAAUCAUCGAAUCUUUGAACGCACAUUGCGCCCGCCAGUAUUCUGGCGGGCAUGCCUGUUCGAGCGUCAUUUCAACCAUCAAGCCCCAGGCUUGUGUUGGGGACCUGCGGCUGCCGCAGGCCCUGAAAACCAGUGGCGGGCUCGCUGUCACACCGGGCGUAGUAGAUUUUAUCUCGCUCAGGGCGUGCUACGGGUUCCGGCCGUUAAAAAGCCUUUUUUACCCAAGGUUGACCUCGGAUCAGGUAGGAAGACCCGCUGAACUUAAGCAUAUCAAUAAGCGGAGGA